rnacentral:rRNA from 1 species
UACGUAGGGGCAAGCGUUGUCCGGAAUCAUUGGGCGUAAAGCGCGUGGUAGGCGGCCAGAAAAGUCCGCUGUGAAAACUCGAGGCUACAACUUCGAGCUGUCGGUGGAAACUUUCUGGCUAGAGUCCGGAAGAGGAGAAUGGAAUUCCUGGUGUAGCGGUGAAAUGCGCAGAUAUCAGGAAGAACACCGGUGGCGAAAGGCGGCUCUCUGGGCCUUACCUGAACGCU